CUUUUUAGAGUGUCCACGUCGGACAGGAAAUUCGUCCAGUAAUAAUGCAGCAAAUAGCCACGUCAUCGGUGAGUUAAGUUGGUUUGGGCUGUUGAUGUUUUCGGCCUGUUUUAUUUGCAUGUUCUGAACCCACUCUCUGCUGGCCCGAUGUCUUAAGCGUUGUUGUCGUAACCCUAAUACGUUCUUCCAUCUUCCAUCUCUCUUUUUUUUCUUUUUUUUUGCUAAAAAAUCUUUCAUCUCUCUUUCCAACUUCCAUAUCUUCCAUCUCUCUUUUCUCCAAAUCCGUAAUCUUCCAUCUCUCUUUUCAACUUCCAUCUCUUCCAUCUCUCUCUUCUCCAAAUCUGUUUUACUGACUAAUAACGCCAGUAACUCCUCUAAUAAAACCUUAGCUAAGCUCAUUCAAUGGAUCCUUUCGCCUUCCUCUCCAUUUUCCUAUUUAUAAAUCUGUUUUCUCAUCUUAUAUUUUCUAUCAAGAUUGAUAACUUUCUCUCUAACAUUCAUCGCGAUGGAACACACCAGCAAAUCUCCGAUCUCCACCGACCGCAAGACCGUCGACUCCUCCGCGUCUGUGAAACCAAACCGAAGUCCAUUGCUACCUCCGUGACUGUGAUGAAACCUAACGAGAAGGCUGCUGUUUCGUCCUCCAAUCCGAUGAACCCAGAGGCUGCUAACGCUCUCUCCCCCACGCGUGCCGACCAAGUGAUGUUGUUCAGAGAUGUUUCACCCGGCCCACGCGAAGCUGGCCUGAGGUUUCGUUUGAUUCACUUCUGAGAGGCUCGCAAUCCAAACACGAAAACCCUGAUUGGACAAGAAAUGCUCCUUAUCGACGAAGAGGGAACCGUGAUUCAGGGUUUUGUCCCAGCCGGACGUGUUGGGAUAUUUGAUCUGGUAGCUGGUUUUGUGUAUAACCUGAGCAACUUUUUCGGAUCCAGGAGCAAAGAGCAAUAUCGGGUUGCUGAUCAUGUCGCCACCGUAUCAUUUUCUUGGAAUUCUUCUUUGUCAGUGCUUGAGAACCCUCCGGUUUUGAUUCCAGACGAUAGGUUCAGGUUCCACAGCUAUGAAGAGUUUAGGGCCAACUGUGACUCUAGGGGUGAUCUUUAUGGUAAGACAUGUUUGAUUAUUCAGAGUAUAUGACACGUUUGGUAUAUUAUGAGAGUUGAUGUUUGAUGUCUGCAUAUUUAAAUUGUUUUGUUGCUGCAUUACCAUUAACAAUCACACAUAUAGUUUCAUUAGCCAUUAACAAUCACACAGAUAUCCUCGUGAGGUACCUACAACAAAACGUCCCAAGAGUGGCUAAUGGGUUUUCUACUUAUCUUCUUAUGCAGUGAUUGUUUUGUUGCUAUAUUCCAAGUCGUUUUUUUAUGUUUCUCUUUUGGCUUUGUGUUCUUUUCUUUUCAGACUUCUGGUUUUUGACUUUUAUGUUUAAGUUUUUUUAAUACAAUUUCGUUAUAUGGUUGCUUCUUAUCCUUCUGAGCAAUUUACAUAUUGUAUUAUGAUCUUUUAUGUAUUGUAUUUACCUAUGCUGCAAUUUGGUGUGAUGAGGACAGAGUGCUACGAGUCUUUUAAAUUUGUGAAUAUUCACAGACAUAAAGAGGGACAGUUAUAUCUUCUCAGGUUCGUUUCUUGGAGCAGAAGGUAGUAGUAGUAAAGACAAAACUCCACUUUUGAUAUUUUUUGUUUACGAUACUUCCAAAAUUUAGGAAAAUUUUGAUUUAAUUGUUCCAAUUGUCUCAAAUGAUGCAGUGUGCAGAUGCUUGAAGAGGAGGUGAGAAUCAGAAGAAACUAAACGCUCACGUAUUGUGAAUACGCACACACGUUUAGCCAUAACUAACACCCACCAUUAAUCAUCACCAUGGAGCACCAUCACACGAGCAGUGAUCCAAAAAGACAGGAUUGACUUUGCGCUCCAUCUAUAUGCACCACUCUAUUUGCUUUGUUUUUUUUUCUUUGUUGAUGUUUUUGGAUUGAAGUUUCCUUUAGUCAUAUAGAAUGACUCCCUGUUUUGAAACAAAGUGGAAGAAAAAAUGAUUUUAAUCAUUCAUUUUUUUUUUGCUUGAAUUGCCUACGUUAAUGAUUUGAAACUGUGAUUUACUAUUACGCAAUCAAAGCAAACAUUUUAAUACCU